rnacentral:rRNA from 1 species
AGUGAACGCUGGCGGCGUGCUUAACACAUGCAAGUCGAACGAGAACGGAAUAUAGCUUGCUAUAUUUGUCAGCUAAGUGGCGCACGGGUGAGUAAUGUAUAGAUAACCUGCCCUUAAGAAAGGAAUAACAGUUGGAAACGACUGCUAAUGCCCUAUAUGCCUUUAAUACAUAAGUAUGCAAGGGAAACGCUUUAGUGCUUAAGGAUGGGUCUGUAUGGUAUCAGCUUAUUGGUGAGGUAAUGGCUCACCAAGGCUAUGACGCCUAACUGGUUUGAGAGGAUGAUCAGUCACACUGGAACUGAGACACGGUCCAGACUCCGACGGGAGGCAGCAGUGGGGAAUAUUGCACAAUGGACGAAAGUCUGAUGCAGCAACGCCGCGUGGAGGAUGACACAUUUCGGUGCGUAAACUCCUUUUAUAUAGGAAGAUAAUGACGGUACUAUAUGAAUAAGCACCGGCUAACUCCGUGCCAGCAGCCGCCGUAA